CGGGUGAGUAACGCGUGGGUAACCUGCCUUGUACUGGGGGACGGACAGUUGGAAACGACUGCUAAUACCGCAUAAGCGCACAGCUUCGCAUGAAGCAGUGUGAAAAACUCCGGUGGUACAAGAUGGACCCGCGUCUGAUUAGCUGGUUGGUGAGGUAACGGCCCACCAAGGCGACGAUCAGUAGCCGGCCUGAGAGGGUGAACGGCCACAUUGGGACUGAGACACGGCCCAA
rnacentral:rRNA from 1 species